CACGUAGGGUGCGAGCGUUAAUCGGAAUUACUGGGCGUAAAGCGUGCGCAGGCGGUUGUGCAAGACAGAUGUGAAAGCCCCGGGCUCAACCUGGGAACCGCGCUUGAGACUGGCGGACUCGAGUUCGGGAGAGGAUGGUGGAAUUCCCAGUGUAGAGGUGAAAUUCGUAGAUAUUGGGAAGAACACCGAUGGCGAAGGCAGCCAUCUGGACCGACACUGACGCUGAGGCGCGAAAGCGUGGGGAGCAAACAGG
rnacentral:rRNA from 1 species